rnacentral:piRNA from 1 species
UGAUUUGCAAAAUCAAAUUCA